GAUGAACGCUGGCGGUGUGCCUAAUACAUGCAAGUCGAGCGAACAGACGAGGAGCUUACUCCUCUGACGUUAGCGGCGGACGGGUGAGUAACACGUGGAUAACCUACCUAUAAGACUGGGAUAACUUCGGGAAACCGGAGCUAAUACCGGAUAACAUGUUGAACCGCAUGGUUCAACAGUGAAAGACGGUCUUGCUGUCACUUAUAGAUGGAUCCGCGUCGCAUUAGCUAGUUGGUAAGGUAACGGCUUACCAAGGCAACGAUGCGUAGCCGACCUGAGAGGGUGAUCGGCCACACUGGAACUGAGACACGGUCCAGACUCCUACGGGAGGCAGCAGUAGGGAAUCUUCCGCAAUGGGCGAAAGCCUGACGGAGCAACGCCGCGUGAGUGAAGAAGGUCUUCGGAUCGUAAAACUCUGUUAUUAGGGAAGAACAAAUGUGUAAGUAACUAUGCACGUCUUGACGGUACCUAAUCAGAAAGCCACGGCGAACUACGU
rnacentral:rRNA from 1 species